UAACAGGGAGCAUGGUUAUGCACUUGAUUUCGGCUCAAGGGAUGCGGGUAGGAAUCCCGCUCUGUUGU
rnacentral:tRNA from 1 species